AGAGUUUGAUCAUGGCUCAGAACGAACGCUGGCGGCAGGCUUAACACAUGCAAGUCGAACGCUCGUAGCAAUACGGGAGUGGCAGACGGGUGAGUAACGCGUGGGAACAUACCCUCCGGUUCGGAAUAGCUCAGGGAAACUUGGAUUAAUACCGGAUACGGCUGAGAGGCGAAAGAUUUAUCGCCGGAGGAUUGGCCCGCGUUCGAUUAGCUUGUUGGUGAGGUAACGGCUCACCAAGGCGAUGAUCGAUAGCUGGUCUGAGAGGAUGAUCAGCCACAUUGGGACUGAGACACGGCCCAAACUCCUACGGGAGGCAGCAGUGGGGAAUAUUGGACAAUGGGCGCAAGCCUGAUCCAGCCAUGCCGCGUGAGUGAUGACGGCCUUAGGGUUGUAAAGCUCUUUCGCUCGGGACGAUAAUGACGGUACCGAGAUAAGAAGCCCCGGCUAACUUCGUGCCAGCAGCCGCGGUAAUACGAAGGGGGCUAGCGUUGUUCGGAAUUACUGGGCGUAAAGCGCGUGUAGGCGGGUCUUUAAGUCAGGGGUGAAAUGCCAAGGCUCAACCUUGGAACUGCCUUUGAUACUGGAGAUCUUGAGUCCGAGAGAGGUGAGUGGAAUUGCGAGUGUAGAGGUGAAAUUCGUAGAUAUUCGCAAGAACACCAGUGGCGAAGGCGGCUCACUGGCUCGGAACUGACGCUGAGACGCGAAAGCGUGGGGAGCAAACAGGAUUAGAUACCCUAGUAGUCC
rnacentral:rRNA from 1 species